AGGGCUAUAGCUCAGUUGGUAGAGCACCUCAGGUCUACGGUUCGAGUCCGUAUAGCCCUA
rnacentral:tRNA from 2 species